rnacentral:rRNA from 1 species
AAAGGGCUGCAGUUUUAUGACUGUACCAAGGUAGCAUAAUCAUUAGUUUUUUAACUGGAAACUUGUAUGAUAGAUUUGAUGAAAUAUUAUCUGUCUCUAUUUUAUUGUUAGAAUUUUAUUUUUUAGUGAAAAAGCUAAAAUAAUUUUAAAAGACGAGAAGACCCUAUAGAGUUUUAUAUUUAAUUUUAUUUUAGGUUUUAUAUGAAAAUUAAUAUUAAAAUAAAAUUUAAUAUUAUAUUGGGGUGAUAGAAAAAUUAGGAUAACUUUUUUUAAACAAUAAACAUAAAUAAAUGAUUAAAUGAUCCAUUAAUAAUGAUUAUAAGAAAAAAUUACCUUAGGGAUAACAGCGUAAUAUUUUUUUUUAGUUCAAAUAAAAAAAAA